rnacentral:misc_RNA from 1 species
AACGCAUAUUGCGCCCCUUGGUAUUCCUUGGGGCACACCUGUUCGAGCGUCAUUUCACCAAUCAAGCCUCGCUUGGUAUUGGGCGAUGCGGCCUGCCCGCACGCCUCAAAUGCAACGGCCGAACGUGCUCUCCUCCGGCGUCGUGGAAACAUACCGCUAUGGGGAUGAGGGCGACUCGUGCCGCACAAACCUAAAUUUUCAAAGGUUGACCUCGGAUCAGGUGGGGAUACCCGCUGAACUUAA